UGGGGAAUAUUGGACAAUGGGCGCAAGCCUGAUCCAGCCAUGCCGCGUGAGUGAUGAAGGCCCUAGGGUUGUAAAGCUCUUUCACCGGUGAAGAUAAUGACGGUAACCGGAGAAGAAGCCCCGGCUAACUUCGUGCCAGCAGCCGCGGUAAUACGAAGGGGGCUAGCGUUGUUCGGAUUUACUGGGCGUAAAGCGCACGUAGGCGGACUUUUAAGUCAGGGGUGAAAUCCCGGGGCUCAACCCCGGAACUGCCUUUGAUACUGGAAGUCUUGAGUAUGGUAGAGGUGAGUGGAAUUCCGGGUGUAGAGGUGAAAUUCGUAGAUAUUCGGAGGAACACCAGUGGCGAAGGCGGCUCACUGGACCAUUACUGACGCUGAGGUGCGAAAGCGUGGGGGGCAAACAGG
rnacentral:rRNA from 1 species